CCUACGGGUGGCAGCAGUGGGGAAUAUUGCACAAUGGGGGAAACCCUGAUGCAGCGACGCCGCGUGAGUGAGGAAGUAUUUCGGUAUGUAAAGCUCUAUCAGCAGGGAAGAAAAUGACGGUACCUGACUAAGAAGCCCCGGCUAACUACGUGCCAGCAGCCGCGGUAAUACGUAGGGGGCAAGCGUUAUCCGGAUUUACUGGGUGUAAAGGGAGCGUAGACGGCUAAUCAAGUCAGAAGUGAAAACCCGGGGCUCAACCUUGGGAGUGCUUUUGAAACUGAGUAGCUAGAGUGCAGGAGAGGUAAGCGGAAUUCCUAGUGUAGCGGUGAAAUGCGUAGAUAUUAGGAGGAACACCAGUGGCGAAGGCGGCUUACUGGACUGUAACUGACGUUGAGGCUCGAAAGCGUGGGGAGCAAACAGGAUUAGAUACCCGAGUAGUC
rnacentral:rRNA from 1 species